GCCGGGCGCGAUGGCGCGUGUCUGUAACCCAAGUCACCCGGAGGCUGAGGUUGGCGCUCUUUGUCGAACGGGUGUCCGCACUAAAUUCAGUAUCGAUGUAGUUACUCAUGGGGUAGCCCGGGCCCACCAGGUCGUCUACGGAGGGCUGCACUGGCCCAGGUCGGAAAAGAAGCAGCUCAAAUCCCCGGGACCGUCCAGUAGUGGGAUAGCGCCUGUGAGUAGACUCUGCAGUUGAAUCCUU
rnacentral:SRP_RNA from 1 species